GUGGGGAAUAUUGGACAAUGGGCGAAAGCCUGAUCCAGCCAUGCCGCGUGUGUGAAGAAGGUCUUCGGAUUGUAAAGCACUUUAAGUUGGGAGGAAGGGUAGUAACCUAAUACGUUGCUACUUUGACGUUACCGACAGAAUAAGCACCGGCUAACUUCGUGCCAGCAGCCGCGGUAAUACGAAGGGUGCAAGAGUUAAUCGGAAUUACUGUGCGUAAAGCGCGCGUAGGUGGGUCAGUCAGUUGGAAGUGAAAUCCCCGGGCUCAACCUGGGAACUGCUAUCAAAACUGCUGAGCGAGAGUACGGUAGAGGGUGGUGUAAUUUCCUGUGUAGCGGUGAAAUGCGUAUAUAGAGGAAGGAACACCAGUGGCGAAGGCGACCACCUGGACUGAUACUGACACUGAGGUGCGAAAGCGUGGUGAGCAAACAGGAUUAGAUACCCGGGUAGUCC
rnacentral:rRNA from 1 species